CAAGUCCUCUUGGGAAAUGCAGUCCUGAGCUUGCUUACAGAAAAGGGGAUGGCGAGAGAAAUGCAAGCCUUCAGUUCCCGUGAUGCUCCAUCACUCAACUGCUCCACUCAAACUGGGAGGCUAGCAGGGAAGGCGAGCAAAGGCUGCGGGACUUUUAUGCGAGUUAGGAGGCUUCUUUGAAAAGAUGAUGAGUCAUGGGCUUGUUGAGUCAGCAGCCGAAUUUUUAUCCAGUAGAGGUCAGUGGAGUACAUAAGCCCUCGACGGUAUUUCAUAUCUCUACAGAAAUGGAGAUCAGCACUGUCAGUUUCUUUCGAAAAGAUGACAAUAUUGUAUAGAAAUUGCCCCUGUUUUCUUUGGUGCAAAAUAAUUAUGACAUGGAAAUAAUAAUAAAUGAUUUCAUAUGGAUGAAAGCAA